rnacentral:rRNA from 1 species
AGCAGCCGCGGUAAUUCCGGCUCCAAUAGCGUAUAUUAAAGUUGCUGCAGUUAAAAAGCUCGUAGUUGAAUUUCGGGACCAAUAUGUCGGUCGUGCCUCGGUACGUACUGGCAUCGUUGGUUUCUCCCUUCUGACGAACCAUGAUGUCAUUUAUUUGGUGUCGUGGGGAAUCAGGACUGUUACUUUGAAAAAAUUAGAGUGUUUAAAGCAGGCUCACGCUUGAAUACAUUAGCAUGGAAUAAUGAAAUAGGACGUUUUGAUUCUAUUUUGUUGGUUUCUAGGAUCGACGUAAUGAUUAAUAGGGAUAGUUGGGGGCAUUAGUAUUCAAUUGUCAGAGGUGAAAUUCUUGGAUUUAUUGAAGACUAACUACUGCGAAAGCAUUUGCCAAGGAUGUUUUCAUUAAUCAAGAACGAAAGUUAGGGGAUCGAAGACGAUCAGAUACCGUCGUAGUCUUAACCAUAAACUAUGCCGACUAGGGAUCGGAUGAUGUUAAUUUUUAAUGACUCAUUCGGCGCCUUAA